rnacentral:lncRNA from 1 species
AGGAAGGAGCGCGGGUUGCGCGGCGCCCCGGAGCCUCGGCGAGCUGCCCGCUCGCUCGCGGUAGGGGCUGCCAGGCCCCCGCCCGCCUCUGGGUCUCCUCCCCUGCUUGGCCUGCCCCGCCCCGGCCCGACUGAGCCCCGGCACACGGCAGCCCGCGGCGGGUCGCCGCGCCAGCCAAGUUGGGAUGGGGGGCCGCAGCCACCGCCCGGCGCCCGAGAGGCCACCUGCGUGCUAGAGGCAAACUUUUGUCUCCCUCGGGCUGCCACC